GCAAUGCAGGGAUACCCACCAUCACCCAAAAGGAUCCUUCAGGGCCUUUAUUCUUAUGUGGCAGCCAUCAGUGUUCCCCACAGCCUUUUGGAAGGUGCAAGAACAAGCGAGCUGCU